GGGGAUGUAGCUCAGAUGGUAGUAUGUUCACUUAGCAUGCGAGAGGUAUAAGGAUUGAUACCUUGCAUCUCCA
rnacentral:tRNA from 1 species